UACGUAGGCAGCAAGCGUUGUUCGGAAUUACUGGGCGUAAAGAGUGUGUAGGCGGUGCUCCAAGUCUGGUGUGAAAUCUCCCGGCUUAACUGGGAGGGUGCAUUAGAAACUGGAAUGCUAGAGGAUGGGAGAGGUAAGCGGAAUUCCUGGUGUAGCGGUGAAAUGCGUAGAUAUCAGGAAGAACACCCGUGGCGAAGGCGGCUCUCUGGGACGGUACUGACGCUGAGACGCGAAAGCGUGGGGAGCGAACAGG
rnacentral:rRNA from 1 species